CCAAACUUAGAGAGAGAAGUGACUAAAGUGCAGCAGUUGGAGGGAGACCAGUGUCGUGAGGCCAUAUCUUUACUGAAACACAGCACAGACAACGAACAGAUCUUCAUGAAAAUGAGAGAAACCUUCCAGCACAGGCAAAAGUUGAUCCAUGAUUCUGAGCAAUGCAGCACAGUGCUUACUGUGUUCCCAAGGUUUCUAGACACAAAAGGCCUGGUGACGCAAGACUUUGACCUGUUGUUUGGAGUUGAGACUUCAUCAAAACUCCUUGAGAAAUGGGAUUUCCUGAAAGCCAAAGUAAUACAGCAAGCCAAGAACAUCAGCAAGACACCCCUGCUUGACCACCUUAUCCAGUCUGCAGAGGAGAACACUGAAGAGGAUGACGAGGUCCCACGUUGGGAUAGUG